rnacentral:sRNA from 1 species
AUGGCUGUCGUCAGCUCGUGUCGUGAGAUGUUGCGUUAAGUCGCGCAACGAGCGCAACCCCUGUCCUUAGUUGCCAUCAGGUAAAGCUGGGCACUCUAGGGAGACAAACCCUCUCUGAGGGUGGGAAGGUGGGGAUGACGUCAAGUCAGGAUGGCCCUUACGGCCUGGGCUGCACACGUGCUACAAUGCUCGGUACAGAGGGACGCAAGACCGCGAGGUGGAGCAAAUCCCAAAAACCGAGCCCAGUUCAGAUUGCAGUCUGCAACUCGACUGCAUGAAGCCGGAAUCGCUAGUAAUGGCGUAUCAGCUACGACGCCGUGAAUACGUUCCCGGGCCUUGUACACACCGCCCGUCACGUCAUGAAAGCCGGUUUCGCCCGAAGUGCGUUUGCCAACCAGCAAUGGAGGCGGCGCCCUAAGGUGAGGCUGGUGAUUGGGACGAAGUCGUAACAAGGUAGCCGUAGGGGAACCUGCGGCUGGAUCACCUCCUUUUUAAGGAGACGGCUCUGAUCACUUCGGUGAUCAAGUCGAUGGUCGAAGGAAACGAAAGUUUCCGGGUCUCAGUUGAUCGCACAAAGUAAAUAUCUAGAACCCAAAGUUCUUUACAGCAUAGGCCGCCAAUUUCGGGGUCGUAGCUCAGUUGGUAGAGCAUCUGCUUUGCAAGCAGAGGGUCGCGAGUUCGAAUCUCGCCGGCUCCACCAAAUUGGGUCAGCGAAACUAAAUUGGUCAUAUUGCCACAUUCUCAGACCUUGGGCUCAUAGCUCAGUUGGUUAGAGCACGCGCUUGAUAAGCGCGGGGUCGAUGGUUCAAGUCCAUCUGGGCCCACCAUUUUUAGCCUGGGGCUUGAACGGGGGGUGGGUUGGAUGGCGGCAGUUGGCUUCACGCGCUGUAGAUAAAUUUUGUUCUUUGAAAGUUCAGACAAACAGAAAUGUAAUUGUGUAAGAAGGUAAGAUAAACGCCUAGAAUACUGUGCGUUUGCAUAAACCAGUUACAGCAGAUGAUGGAUGCCUUGGCGUCAUCAGGCGAUGAAGGGCGCAGCAAGCUGCGAUAAGCUUCGGGGAGCGGCAUACACGCUUUGAUCCGGAGAUGCCCGAAUGGGGAAACCCGG